UGUCGAAUUCCGGCACUGAGCGCCAGGC
rnacentral:sRNA from 1 species